GGGCGCCAGGCUCCAGGCUCCGUUCCGAAGCUGGGGAAAUGCAAGUGGUUCUUUGCGUGUAACAGGAUCUGUGAGGGGUGCACGCGAACUUGGAAGCCACGUUAUGGAUGCACUGACGUAUGAUGAUGUCUACAUUAAUUUCACUCCGGAAGAAUGGGCUUUGCUGGAUCCAACCCAGAAGAAUCUCUACACAGAUGUGAUGCUGGAGACCUGCAGGAGCCUCGCUGCUAUAGGUUACAAAACAGAAGACAAAAUUAUUGAACAUCUUCAAAAUUUUAGAGUACAUGGAAGGCAUAAAAGAAGUCUUACCAGAGAGAAACCCUAUGAAUAUACUCAAUGUGGUAAAGCCUCUACACGUCACAGUAGUCUUCAAAAACAUGAAAGAACACAUACUGGAGAGAAAACCUAUGAAUGUAAUCAGUGUGGUAAAGGCUUUACACAACAAGCAUACCUCCAAAACCAUAAAAGAACACACACUGGAGAGAAACCUUACGAAUGUUAUGAAUGUGGUAAAGGAUUUGCACAUUACUCUACUCUUCGGAAACAUGGUAGUACACAUACUGGAGAGAAACCCUAUGAAUGUAACCAAUGUGGCAAAGCUUUUUUAUGUCACAGUAGUCUCCAAAACCAUAAAAGAACACACACUGGAGAGAAACCCUAUGAAUGUAAUGAAUGUGGUAAAGCCUUUUCACGACACAGUAGUCUCCAAAAACAUAAAAGAACACAUACUGGAGAGAAACCCUAUGAAUGUAAUCAAUGUGGUAAAGCCUUUUCACACCUCAGUAGUCUCCGAUGUCAUAAAAGAACACAUACUGGAGAGAAACCCUAUGAAUGUAAUCAGUGUGGUAAAGCCUUUUCACAACAGGGUCAUCUCCAGAAACAUAAAAGAACACAUACUGGAGAGAAAAUCCUAUGAAUGUAAUCAAUGUGGUAAAACCUUUUCAGAACCCAGCAGUCUCCAAAUGCAUGAAAGAACACAUACUGGAGAGAAACUCUAUGUAGGCAAUUAAUGUGGUAAAGCCUUUGCAAUUUUCUGUACUUUUCAGAAUCAUGAAAGAGUUCAUACUGGAGAGAAACCCUAUAAAUGUAGCCAUUGUGGUAAAACCUUUGCUGUUCACAGUUAUUUCCAAAUACAUAAAGGAACACAUUCUGGAGAGAAAUCUUGUGAGUGUAGUCAGUGUGGUAAAAAGCAUUUGCACAUUACUAUACAUGUUGAAAACAUGAAGGUAUAGAAACCGUAUGAAUGCAAGCAAUGAGGUAAAGCCUUUUCAUGACAGAGUCAUCUCCAGAAACAUAAAACAUAGUCUAGAGAAAUUGCAUCAAUGCAGUCAGUGCCUUUGCACAACAGAGUUAUCUCCAAAUACAUAGAAACACAUAUAUUGAGAGAACCCUAUGUAAGAAGUGUAGUAAAGCCUUUUCACAUGGUAGUUAUCUAACACCUAGAAGAACCCUCACCAGAUAGAGACCCUGCAAACACAGUCAGUGUGAGAAAGCCUUUUCACAAUAGUGAUCUCUAAACUAAAAAUAGCAGCAACCACAAAAAUCAGUUUGGAAACACAUUGUGGAAAGGCCUUUGCGUAUUACAGUUAUCUCUGAAAACAUAAAAGAAUACAUACUGGAGGGUAAACUUACGAAUGUAAUUGCUGUGUUAAUACAUGAACUCAUACUAAAGGGAAUCUGGGGCUAUAAAGUAUUUGGUAAGAUUUUUAGCCAGCUCAAUUGCACAAGAUCAUUUUAUUCUGGGGGAAUAAAAACCCAACAAGUGUCCACAACCUCUUUAAGCCUUUUGCCUAUCUGUAUUUUGUUUGCACCUACAAACUCAUAGAUAAAAGCCCUAUGAAUUUACACUAUUAGGUAGCAACAUUUAGAUUUCAUUCAUCUCUUCAACUACAUCAAAUAAGUUACCUAAGUGUAAAGCUUUAUGGAUCUGUCUUAGUAACUUUUUUGAUGCUAUGAUAAAACGUAGCAUCUUUGGUAACUUAACUUAUUAAACACUUUAUUUGGGCUCAUGGUGCCAGAGGUGUAUGGGAUUACCAUCAACGUGGCAUGGCAACAAGUGGGAGACAUGGCAGUAAAACAGGAAGUUUAAAGCUCACAUUCAAACCAUAGCGUGAAGCAGUGAUGGGGAACAGGAUUUAAACUGUCACCCCCCCCCCCCCAGCGCAGUGACAUGUUUCCUCCAGUAGGGACAGUAUUUACUAAAUCUUUCCCAUUGAGAAGGGUUGAUUUUCUGAAUUCCAGCUCAAAUACUUUCCUUUUGGGAAGUAAACCAGUUCAUGAGGAAGAAAAACUGUGGAAAUGAGCCUUUAGAUGCCUCAUCAUCUGGGCUAUACCAGUGAAGGCUUAGAGG